ACGUAGGGGGCGAGCGUUAUUCGGAAUUACUGGGUGUAAAGGGUAUGUAGGCGGCCCUUCAAGUCGCGUGUCAAAGUCCAGGGCUCAACGCUGGGAGUGCACGUGAUACUGACGAGCUUGAGUGCUGUAGAGGUGAGCGGAAUUCCAGGUGUAGCGGUAAAAUGCGUAGAGAUCGGGAGGAAUACCGGUGGCGCAGGCGGCUCACUGGACAAUGUCUGACGCUAAGGUGCGAAAGCGUGGGGAGCAAACAG
rnacentral:rRNA from 1 species